GAUGAAGAACGUAGCGAAAUGCGAUACGUAAUGUGAAUUGCAGAUUCAGUGAAUCAUCGAGUCUUUGAACGCACAUUGCGCCCCCUGGUAUUCCGGGGGGCAUGCCUGUCCGAGCGUCAUUGCUGCCCUCAAGCACGGCUUGUGUGUUGGGCCCCGUCCUCCGAUCCCGGGGGACGGGCCCGAAAGGCAGCGGCGGCACCGCGUCCGGUCCUCGAGCGUAUGGGGCUUUGUCACCCGCUCUGUAGGCCCGGCCGGCGCUUGCCGAUCAACCCAAAUUUUUAUCCAGGUUGACCUCGGAUCAGGUAGGGAUACCCGCUGAACUUAAGCAUAUCAAUAAGCGGAGGA
rnacentral:misc_RNA from 1 species